AUGCUUACCUGGUAGGGGAGACACCAUGAUCAGGCCGGUGGUUUUCCCAGGGCGAGGCUCAUCCCCUGCAUUCCGGGUGUGCUGACCCCUGCGAUUUCCCCAAAUGUGGGAAACUCGACUGCAUAAUUUGGGGGGUGGGGUGGGACGACUGCAUUUGCGCUCUCCCCUG
rnacentral:snRNA from 1 species